CCUACGGGAGGCAGCAGUGAGGAAUAUUGGUCAAUGGGCGAGAGUCUGAACCAGCCAAGUCGCGUGAGGGAAGAAGGUUCUAUGGAUUGUAAACCUCUUUUGUCAGGGAAUAAAGUGACGCACGUGUGGGUGUUGGAGAGUACCAGAUGAAUAAGCAUCGGCUAACUCCGUGCCAGCAGCCGCGGUAAUACGGAGGGUGCGAGCGUUAUCCGGAUUUAUUGGGUGUAAAGGGUGCGUAGACGGGUAAUCAAGUCAGCGGGAAAAGCGCGGAGCUAAACCCCAUACAGCCGGUGAAACUGAUGGUCUGGAGUGGGGGAGAGGUAGGCGGAAUGCGUGGUGUAGCGGUGAAAUGCGUAGAUAUCAGGAGGAACUCCGGUGGCGAAGGCAGCAUGCUGGAGCCCGACUGACGCUGAGGCUCGAAAGCGUGGGGAGCGAACAGGAUUAGAUACCCGAGUAGUC
rnacentral:rRNA from 1 species